GUUGGGAGUUGUGGCGUGCUCCUGUGAUCCAGCUACCUGGAGACCGGAGUCGGUGAACGGUGUGAGGGCAGGAGUCCUGCUUUCAGGUGUCUAUGUUGAGCGGGCGUCCGCACUAAGAUCGGUAUCAAUAUGGGCACACCGAGGGAGCUCAGUGUGACCAGGUUGUCUAAGGAGGGACGUACAGGCCAAGGGCGGAAACGCAGCAGGCAAAAGUCCCCGUGUCGAUCAGUAGUGGGAUCGCGCCUGUGAAUAGGCAUCUGUCAGCAGCCUGUCCAAUAUUAAUGGACUCGGCUCUUU
rnacentral:SRP_RNA from 1 species